GGGGGCGAAACGGGUUCGACGGGGAUAAAGAAGUAUAGGUUGCACACCGAGCGCCUGCCAGCUCGUAAAUAAAGGCGGGACAUAAAAUAAUCGCAGACGAUUAUAAUUACGCUUUAGCCGCUUAACGCAGGCUAACGUCCUCCCGGAACUCUCCUGCGGGUCCGGAAAGGGCGCCGACAAGCAGGAUAGUCCCAAUCGGUUGCUUGUUACGUGCGGGGCGAACUUCGCAACAAGCUAGCGCCUCAAGAAUCCUGCCCGAAGGAGCCCUGAGGAGCGAACACGAAUAUUCGGGCUAUGUGUGUAGAAGCCUAUGUGGAAUAUCACCGGACGCGGGUUCGACUCCCGCCGCCUCCACCA
rnacentral:tmRNA from 1 species